UGGGGAAUAUUGCACAAUGGGCGCAAGCCUGAUGCAGCCAUGCCGCGUGUGUGAAGAAGGCCUUCGGGUUGUAAAGCACUUUCAGCGGGGAGGAAGGCGAUAAGGUUAAUAACCUUGUCGAUUGACGUUACCCGCAGAAGAAGCACCGGCUAACUCCGUGCCAGCAGCCGCGAUAAUACGGAGGGUGCAAGCGUUAAUCGGAAUUACUGGGCGUAAAGCGCACGCAGGCGGUCUGUCAAGUCGGAUGUGAAAUCCCCGGGCUUAACCUGGGAACUGCAUUCGAAACUGGCAGGCUAGAGUCUUGUAGAGGGGGGUAGAAUUCCAGGUGUAGCGGUGAAAUGCGUAGAGAUCUGGAGGAAUACCGGUGGCGAAGGCGGCCCCCUGGACAAAGACUGACGCUCAGGUGCGAAAGCGUGGGGAGCAAACAGG
rnacentral:rRNA from 1 species